rnacentral:tRNA from 1 species
CGUACGGUGUUCUAAAGGAAGGAUACAGGGUUCAUAUCCCUGUGAUCAGGGUUCGAAUCCCUGCUGCGCAA